rnacentral:rRNA from 1 species
AUGGGGUUAAACGGCCGCGACGAGCACCACUCACCGUCCUCGGCCAAGUCCCCCCGCGGCGGCGGCGGAGGCGAGCACAACUCCCCGCCAAUCAGCUGCCCACGUGGCGGCGCCGUGUCGUCCUUCCUGCUUGCGGCCGCGUUGCUCACUUUCUCCUUGUCCAUCGGCAUCACGGCCACGCUCGCCGUCACGUUCUCCACGUCGUUGUCGUUGUGCCCCAUGCAGGCCUUGUUCUUCCCGGCCACCAGCGCUAGGUUCGUCCAGCCGGAGUCGGACGUCCGGCCCCCGGGCGCUGACGUGCCGCGGCUUGCCUACCUCAUCUCUGGGUCCAGAGGUGACCUGGACCGGCUGUGGCGGGUGCUGCACGCGCUCUACCACCCGCGAAACCUGUACGUGGUGCACCUGGACCUGAAAUCCCCGGUGGAGGACCGACUGGAGCUGGCGACGCGGGUGGGAAACAACACUGUUUUCCAGCGCAUCGGCAACGUCGAGGUGAUCCGGCGCGCCAACAUGGUGACUUACCGCGGGCCGACGAUGGUCGCCCACACCCUGCAUGCCUGCGCCGUGCUCCUCCGCCGCAGCCGCGACUGGGACUGGUUCAUCAACCUCUCUGCCUCAGACUACCCGCUCAUGACCCAGGACGAUAUCCUCCAUGUAUUCUCCACGUUGCCGAGGAACGUCAGCUUCAUGGAGCAUACCAGCAACCUGGGCCAGAAGGCGGAGGGCCGGGCGAAGCCUCUGAUCGUGGACCCGGGGCUGUACAUGUCGGCUAAGAAGGAAGUCUUCAACGUGUGGCCAGCGCGGCAGCUGCCGACGGCGUUCAAGCUGUACACGGGGUCGGCGUGGGUGGUGCUGUCGCGGGACUUCGUCGAAUACGUGGUGUGGGGGUGGGAUAACCUGCCGCGGACGCUUCUCAUGUACUACGCCAACUUCGUCUCCUCCCCGGAGGGCUACUUCCAGACGGUGCUCUGCAACGCGCCCAGCUUCGUGCGCACCGUCGCCAACCACGACCUGCACCACAUCCAGUGGGACGUCCCGGCGAGGCAGCACCCGCGGGCGCUCGGGCUCCCCGACAGGGACGGCAUGGUGGGCAGCGGCACGCCCUUCGCACGCAAGUUCGAGCGCGACGACCCUGUGCUUGAUGUCAUAGACGCCGACCUUCUGCUCGGCCGUGGGAGGAACGGCACGGCGGCCGGGAUGUUUGUGCCCGGCGGCUGGUGCGGCCAACACCGGGACUGCGGUGCCGCCCGCGCCAAUGUCGACGACUGGGUGCUCAGCCCUGGGCCCGGUGCCGAGAGGCUGCGGAGGCUCAUGGACAGGAUCGUCAGGUCCCAGGCCUUCGACGGCAGCCAGUGCAAAUAG